rnacentral:lncRNA from 1 species
UGAAAGCAUUAAAUAAAAGCCAGGUCCUUGUCCUUUCUUAAAAACAGCCUGUGUGAUGAUAAGCAAAUGCUGACUGAAUAUGAAGGUCUUAAUUAGCUCUAUCUGAUUUCAGGCAUUUUAAAAAUUUGUGGGGCGAAAAUUUGUCUUUGGCUAUAGAAAACCACUCUUUUAUUUCUUAGGUGAACUUGAAUCCUUGACCUGUCAAAAGCAGUUGGCCUUUUUGGUGAGUAUUAAUGGCAAAAACAUUGUUAUAGAGACUGCUGAUGAAGUUGAAUGUUUAACUACCAAGCUAAUCUGCCUGGUUUGUAAUUGCAUGUCGAGCAUGGUAUGAAAAGGAUGGAGAG